AUUGAACGCUGGCGGCAGGCCUAACACAUGCAAGUCGAGCGGAGCGGCGGGCGGGUGGGUGAGGCCUAGGAAGCUGCCUGGUAGAGGGGGGUGAAGUACGGAAACGGGAGGUAGUACAUCAUGCUAUCCGAUGGGUCUGGGUCGGAUUAGCUAGUUGGUGGGGUAAAGGCCUACCAAGGCGACGAUCCGUAACUGGUCUGAGAGGAUGAUCAGUCACACUGGAACUGAGACACGGUCCAGACUCCUACGGGAGGCAGCAGUGGGGAAUAUUGGACAAUGGGCGAAAGCCUGAUCCAGCCAUGCCGCGUGUGUGAAGAAGGUCUUCGGAUUGUAAAGCACUUUAAGUUGGGAGGCGUUACCAACAGAAUAAGCACCGGCUAACUUCGUGCCAGCAGCCGCGGUAAUUC
rnacentral:rRNA from 1 species